rnacentral:lncRNA from 1 species
GUGGAGUUAUCCCCGAGCAGCUUUCUGUGUUCUCUGUGCUUGCCAGAAGCGGUGCCCCGUGAAACUUGUUCAGAGGCUAUCUGCAACUGUUUCUAGCAGUCCACUCCCUAGAGAUGUUUCUGGUGAGUUCUCGAAAGUGUACAACUCGGAAGAUGUGGAGGCUGUCUGGUUGGAUUGGUGGGAGGCUAGUGGCAUUCAUGACCCCUGCAAAGAGGCGAAGGAAGAAGGGCACAUUCAGCAUGUUGCUGCCCCCACCAAACAUCACCGGUGAUUUGCAUCUUGGCCACGCACUGACCGUCACCAUACAAGACACACUGGUGCGCUGGUACGAGCUGCAUCUCUAAUCUUUGGGACUGCCGGCAACAAGAACUUCAUUUGGUAACAAUCCGCUUCAGUUUCCAUUUUUCUUUUCUGAU